CCCUGGGUGGCUCAGUCGGUUGAGCGUCCGACUUCGGCUCAGGUCAUGAUCUCACAGUCUGUGGGUUCGAGCCCCACGUCAGGCU
rnacentral:tRNA from 1 species